rnacentral:misc_RNA from 1 species
AUCUCUCAACACAGACAGGUUUUACUGCCUGUUCUGUUGUUUGGAUGUUGAAGGCUUGCUGGCAGUCUGACUGUCAGCUCCUUUUAAAUGCAUUAGCAGAAAGCAUGCAGAACUGGCUUCAGUUUGAUAAAAACUUAUCUGUGUUGCUGUCGCCAGGAUAAUGCUAGUUGUUUCAGCUUCUAAUAGUCCCCUCUGGGACUGUCUCAUUGAGGCAUACACACUUGAC